GGGAUAUUGCACAAUGGAGGCAACUCUGAUGCAGCGACGCCGCGUGGGUGAAGAAGUUAUUCGUAAUGUAAAGCCCUAUCAGCAGGGAAGAUAAUGACGGUACCUGACUAAGAAGCCCCGGCUAACUACGUGCCAGCAGCCGCGGUAAUACGUAGGGGGCAAGCGUUAUCCGGAUUUACUGGGUGUAAAGGGAGCGCAGACGGGAUAGCAAGCCAGAUGUGGAAGCCAUAGGCAUAACCUGUGGAGUGCAUUUGGAACUGUUAACCUUGAGUGCCGGAGGGGUAAGCGGAAUUCCCAGUGUAGCGGUGAAAUGCGUAGAUAUUGGGAAGAACACCGGUGGCGAAGGCGGCUUACUGGACGGUAACUGACGUUGAGGCUCGAAAGCGUGGGGAGCAAACA
rnacentral:rRNA from 1 species